rnacentral:rRNA from 1 species
GUUGAACGCUGGCGGAACGCUUUACACAUGCAAGUCGAACGGUAACGAGGAGAGAAGCUUGCUUCUCUCCGGCGACGAGUGGCGAACGGGUGAGUAAUACAUCGGAACGUGUCCGCUCGUGGGGGACAACCAGCCGAAAGGUUGGCUAAUACCGCAUGAGUUCUACGGAAGAAAGAGGGGGACCCGCAAGGGCCUCUCGCGAGCGGAGCGGCCGAUGACUGAUUAGCCGGUUGGUGAGGUAACGGCUCACCAAAGCAACGAUCAGUAGCUGGUCUGAGAGGACGACCAGCCACACUGGGACUGAGACACGGCCCAGACUCCUACGGGAGGCAGCAGUGGGGAAUUUUGGACAAUGGGCGCAAGCCUGAUCCAGCUAUUCCGCGUGUGGGAUGAAGGCCCUCGGGUUGUAAACCACUUUUGUAGAGAACGAAAAGACACCUUCGAAUAAAGGGUGUUGCUGACGGUACUCUAAGAAUAAGCACCGGCUAACUACGUGCCAGCAGCCGCGGUAAUACGUAGGGUGCGAGCGUUAAUCGGAAUUACUGGGCGUAAAGGGUGCGCAGGCGGUUGAGUAAGACAGAUGUGAAAUCCCCGAGCUUAACUCGGGAAUGGCAUAUGUGACUGCUCGACUAGAGUGUGUCAGAGGGAGGUGGAAUUCCACGUGUAGCAGUGAAAUGCGUAGAUAUGUGGAAGAACACCGAUGGCGAAGGCAGCCUCCUGGGACAUAACUGACGCUCAGGCACGAAAGCGUGGGGAGCAAACAGG